ACGGGUGAGUAACACGUAUCCAACCUGCCGUCUACUCUUGGCCAGCCUUCUGAAAGGAAGAUUAAUACAAGAUGGCAUCAUGAGUUCACAUGUUCACAUGAUUAAAGGUAUUCCGGUAGACGAUGGGGAUGCGUUCCAUUAGAUAGUAGGCGGGGUAACGGCCCACCUAGUCUUCGAUGGAUAGGGGUUCUGAGAGGAAGGUCCCCCACAUUGGAACUGAGACACGGUCCAA
rnacentral:rRNA from 1 species